CAGCAGCCGCGGUAAUACGUAGGUGGCAAGCGUUGUCCGGAAUCAUUGGGCGUAAAGCGCGCGCAGGCGGUCCUUUAAGUCUGAUGUGAAAUCUUGCGGCUCAACCGUAAGCGGUCAUUGGAAACUGGGGGACUUGAGUGCAGGAGAGGAAAGCGGAAUUCCAUGUGUAGCGGUGAAAUGCGUAGAGAUAUGGAGGAACACCAGUGGCGAAGGCGGCUUUCUGGCCUGUAACUGACGCUGAGGCGCGAAAGCGUGGGGAGCAAACAGGAUUAGAUGCCCUGGUAGUCCACGCCGUAAACGAUGAGUGCUAAGUGUUGGAGGGUUUACGCCCUUCAGUGCUGCAGCUAACGCAUUAAGCACUCCGCCUGGGGAGUACGGUCGCAAGACUGAAACUUAAAGGAAUUGGCGGG
rnacentral:rRNA from 1 species